AGUUUGAUCCUGGCUCAGGACAAACGCUGGCGGCGUGCCUAACACAUGCAAGUCGAACGAAGCACUGUAAGAAGAGGACUUCGGUCCAAUGAUUACUUUGACUUAGUGGCGGACGGGUGAGUAAUGCAUGAGCAACCUGCCCUGGAGAGGGGGACAACAGCUGGAAACGGCUGCUAAUACCGCAUGAAGUUACCGGGGGGCAUCUUCUGGUAACCAAAGAUUUAUCGCUCUGGGAUGGGCUCAUGUCUGAUUAGAUAGUUGGCGGGGUAACGGCCCACCAAGUCGACGAUCAGUAGCCGGACUGAGAGGUUGAACGGCCACAUUGGGACUGAGAUACGGCCCAGACUCCUACGGGAGGCAGCAGUGGGGAAUAUUGGGCAAUGGGCGCAAGCCUGACCCAGCAACGCCGCGUGAAGGAAGAAGGCCUUCGGGUUGUAAACUUCUUUUAUCAGGGACGAAGGAAGUGACGGUACCUGAUGAAUAAGCCACGGCUAACUACGUGCC
rnacentral:rRNA from 1 species